UUUAUAUAUCUUCUUUAAAUGAUUGAACAGUCUUAACUAAAAAACGUUUUGAUGUGUGAUGGUAACUCUUUCUUUCAUGUAGGGAGAGAGGAACACAAGUGGAAGGAGAAAGAAUGACAGAUCAGAAGAGGAAGAAAACAGCAACUUCAUUGGGAACCUUGAGUUUGAAGCUAACAGCAAUAACAAUUUAAAGGAAGGAUCUGAAUCUACUCAAGGGACUGUUUGGGAUAAGAUCCCAGGCGUCAAAUCUCAGAUGUACCCUCACCAGCAAGAAGGUUUUGAGUUCAUCUGGAGGAACUUGGCUGGUACCAUUAUGUUGAACGAGCUUCAGGACUUUGAGAACAGUGAAGAAACAGGAGGAUGCAUCAUGUCACACGCUCCAGGGACAGGGAAGACUCGCCUCACCAUCAUCUUCCUUCAGUCUUACUUGGAGUGCUUCCCUAAUUGCAAACCUGUGAUCAUUGCUCCUGCAAGCCUGCUUCUCACGUGGGCUGAGGAGUUCAAGAAAUGGAACAUAAGCAUUCCCUUUCACAAUCUCAGCAGCUUGGAGUUCACUGGGAGAGAGAACUCAGCUGCUUCCAAGCUCCUGAUGCAGAAGAACUCAAGCGCUAGAAGCAAUAACGAGAUAAGGAUGGUGAAGAUUUACUCUUGGAUAAAAUCAAAGAGCAUACUAGGGAUCAGUUACAACCUCUACGAGAAGCUUGCAGGAGUUAAGGACGAGGACAGAAAGACAAAAGGGAAACCAGACAAAGAGCUGGAAGAUAUCAGAGAGAUACUAAUGGAUGUGCCUGGACUGCUCGUUCUUGACGAGGCACAUACCCCUAGGAACCAGAGAAGCUGUAUAUGGAAGACACUGUCUAAAGUCAAAGAAGUUGAUCUCUUCAGGCUUCUUGUCAACUCCGUUAGGGAGAAUGAUCGGUUAGGGGAAGAAGAGGAAGAUGACAUACUUGUCUCUUCACCUGAGGAAGAGCAACCUGAAGAACAAGAUGAAAGAAAAUACGAUGAUGACGGCUUGCUAAUCAUCAGGCCACCACCACUGGUGGAGAUGUUUGGCAUGGUGGAGCCUGCACCACCGGUGGUUUCCGAGGCGCAGAUAGAAGAAGAUACGAUGUGGGAAGAGGUGGCGUUUUAUACUAAUGCAAACGAAGUAGAUCUCCAGCUUCAUUCAGAGGCAAGUUCCUUUUUCUUAAAACUCAUUUUGCUUUAGAACAGCAGUAACUCUAACUUUGAACCUUUUUUUUACAGAUUGAGAAAGAGAUAUCAGCUGAUGAUAGUCCAGGAGCAGCUUGUAGACAAGGGAAUCAUGAACUUUGUCUAGAUCUUGAGAUCGGUUUAAAGUGCAUACACUGCUGCUUUGUGUUGAGAGAGAUCAGAGGACUAGAUGUAUCUGAAUGGGUCAGUUUAUAUAUCUUCUUUAAAUGAUUGAACAGUCUUAACUAAAAAACGUUUUGAUGUGUGAUGGUAACUCUUUCUUUCAUGUAGGGAGAGAGGAACACAAGUGGAAGGAGAAAGAAUGACAGAUCAGAAGAGGAAGAAAACAGCAACUUCAUUGGGAACCUUGAGUUUGAAGCUAACAGCAAUAACAAUUUAAAGGAAGGAUCUGAAUCUACUCAAGGGACUGUUUGGGAUAAGAUCCCAGGCGUCAAAUCUCAGAUGUACCCUCACCAGCAAGAAGGUUUUGAGUUCAUCUGGAGGAACUUGGCUGGUACCAUUAUGUUGAACGAGCUUCAGGACUUUGAGAACAGUGAAGAAACAGGAGGAUGCAUCAUGUCACACGCUCCAGGGACAGGGAAGACUCGCCUCACCAUCAUCUUCCUUCAGUCUUACUUGGAGUGCUUCCCUAAUUGCAAACCUGUGAUCAUUGCUCCUGCAAGCCUGCUUCUCACGUGGGCUGAGGAGUUCAAGAAAUGGAACAUAAGCAUUCCCUUUCACAAUCUCAGCAGCUUGGAGUUCACUGGGAGAGAGAACU
rnacentral:lncRNA from 1 species